ACCUGCUGGUUAAGUGUAAGCCGCUCCUUAUUAGUCUGUCACUUCAUUUGUUUUCUUUUAUCAAGAACUGCUGAGGAGUAGAGCGGAGUUGUUUGAUAAGAGCAACAUAAAAGAAAGAAAAGGUUUUGUUGCUGGGAAGUUUAAGGAGACAGAGUACUUGGCUCGUGCGUAAGAUGGAUACGUCUACGAACCUUUGAAGGACUGUUGUCACUGCUGUUCCAGGUGUUGCGCCAGUAAAGAAGAGGACACCGAAUGUUGUUUAUAGAUAGCUCGUCACGAUUAAAAGCCCGACGCUGACACUUUUAUUAGGGUCGUUUUAACUGUCCACGCCACCUCUUGCAACACAGGUCACUGCAUCCCUUUAGUCAAAGAUGACAGAGAGGACCCCAUGGUGGAAGGCAUUCCUGCCAAAGAAAAAGGCCUCCAAGGAUCAAGCCUUUGAUGUGAACUUUGACCCUUGGGCAAAAUCCUCUCCUGCAGCCUCCAAGGCCUCCCAGCCGGUGUCCAACAACAGCUCCAGCCUGCUCAGCGAUGAAACCUUCGACGACUCCCGACUGGACUCGGUCUUCAAUGAGCAGACUUGUCGCAGGAACAUGAAUAUAUCGCGCUCAGGCCGAUUCAAAGAAAAGAAGAAGAUCCGUACAACUAUUCCAAUAGAGCAGAAAGAGAAAGAGAACGUGACGUCUGGGAGAGAGGACGCACGGUGACAGCAAGGAGUAAAAAGCCGGGCGAUCAAAGACUGCUUUACAGAGAUGCUUGAAGACGGAGGAGAAGAAGAAAUCAAGGUCUAUGAAGAUGUUUCACUCUCAUGAAGCAUGCCAGGAAUUCUGCUGAUUUUUCUUUUUUUUCUUCUUUUUUUAUAUGUUGGUGAUAAUGAAGACGAUGAGCAUUCAAGUUUUAGCCCAAUACUGGAAAAAAAGGAUGAUUUUAGACAUUUGUUGAUGCACUUUGCCAGAAAGCCAAAAAAACAGUGUCAGCAAUAUUACACUUAGAAAACAGGAAUGCCCUUUCUCCUUUCAGUGCUCCAUAUGUGUUUCAGGAAGGAACUGCUCAUAAAAUGUUUACAUUUUUUCUGUAAUAAGAUUAAUAGAAAAUAAUAUCUAAUAAUAUAAACCUAAUAAUGAAGGAUAUGUGUAACAAUAAUUUUACAGUGCUUUUUAUAAGGGCUAUAAGGGUGUUUAUGAAGGUGUAAAUGGUUCCUUUAUGUGUGUGUGUGUGAAGAAAACAGAGAGAGAAAAAAAUGGUUUGUUAGCAGUGCUUAAUCAGAUGCACAAAACUUGUCAGCAAAAUGCAUAAAAUACUUCAAUGAAGGAUUCAAAUUGACAUAUUGCACAAAACCUUUAGCAAAGCCAUCACUGCUGAAAUAUCCAGGCAGAUGAAAUGAGGACAAGGAAGUGAUGUUAAUUUCUUUUUAAGACUUCUCUGCUUUUGGAUGGCCUCUGAAUAGUUUUACAUGAAGGCAAAAUAUGAGAAAUAAAUCUGACAUCUGCUACA